UCUAAGUCCAUUUGUGCAAGAACUGUCUGUAUCUUUAUCUGCCACAACGCCAAUCUAGUGUUGCGAUCCAACAGUGGAAUUUCGUACUUCAAAGACGUCAUUACCGUGAUUUGAGAUGAACAACUCGAAAGCUCGGAUACCAAUUUGAGAAAAAUAUAAUGUCGGUAAUGACAAUAUAUCGCAAAGAAAAGAAAUAGAAAAAUAAAGAACACACAGAUUUUACGUGGAAACCCUUUCGAAAAAAAAAAACACGGGCAGAGGAGAAGAAAAUUUACUAUGUCGAAUUCGAAUUAAUUA
rnacentral:lncRNA from 1 species